ACUGCGCCGAAGAUGUACCGGGGCUAAAGCAUAAUACCGAAACUGCGGAUUACUUUGUAAUGGUAGGGGAGCGUUCUAAGUGCGCUGAAGGUUGAUCGUAAGGACAGCUGGAGCGCUUAGAAGUGAGAAUGCCGGUAUGAGUAGCGCAAGACGUGUGAGAAUCACGUCCACCGUUUGCCCAAGGUUUCCUGGGUCAAGUUCGUCUUCCCAGGGUUAGUCGGGUCCUAAGGCGAGGCCGAAAGGCGUAGUCGAUGGACAACAGGUUGAUAUUCCUGUACCACCUAUAUGACUGAUGGAGUGACGAAGGAGGCUAACAAGUGCCUGUUAUUGGAUUCAGGUCUAAGCACAAAGGCUUAUAUGUAGGGAAAUCCGCAUAUUGGUAGGCUGAAGUGUGAUGGCGAAGAGAGUAGCAAUACAAUUGAAGACUUGUGACGCCAAACUUCCAAGAAAAGCUUCUAGGGUUAAUCGUAUAGGUGCCCGUACCGAGAACCGCCACAGGUGGGCAAGGAGAGUAUCCUAAGGUGAGCGAGAGAACUAUGGUUAAGGAACUCGGCAAAAUAACCCCUUAACUUAGGGAGAAGGGGUGGUCUAGCGAUAGACCCGCAGUAAAGACGUCCAGGCAACUGUUUACCAAAAACACAGGUCUCUGCAAAGCCGUAAGGCGAAGUAUAGGGGCUGACACCUGCCCAGUGCUGGAAGGUUAAUAGGAGAGGUUAGUAUUUGACUUUGUCAACAUGAUACGAAGCUUUGAAUUGAAGCCCCAGUGAACGGCGGCCGUAACUAUAACGGUCCUAAGGUAGCGAAAUUCCUUGUCAGGUAAGUUCUGACCCGCACGAAAGGUGUAAUGAUCUGGAUACUGUCUCAACCAUAGGCUCGGUGAAAUUUUAAUACCUGUGAAAAUGCAGGUUACCCGCGACAGGACGGAAAGACCCCAUGGAGCUUUACUGUAGCUUGAUAUUGAAAUUUGAUAUUCUUUGUAGAGGAUAGGUGGUAGACUUUGAUACUAGGACGCCAGUUCUAGUGGAGUCGCCCUUGGAAUACCACCCUUGGAAUAUUAGAUUUCUAACCUAGGACCGUAAUCCGGUUCGGGGACAGUGUCUGGUGGGCAGUUUGACUGGGGCGGUCGCCUCCCAAAUAGUAACGGAGGCGCCCAAAGGUUACCUCAGAAUGGUUGGAAAUCAUUCGCAGAGUGUAAAGGUAUAUAGGUAGCUUAACUGCGAGACUUACAAGUCAAGCAGAUACGAAAGUAGGGCUUAGUGAUCAGGCGAUUCAGUAUGGAAUGGUCGUCGCUUAACGG
rnacentral:rRNA from 1 species